CUUCAUCUCUCCACUCUCUCACUCUCCGUCUCCACCAUAAAAUUUCAUUACAAUCUGAAAGUAUCACCGAUCUCCUUACUCCUCCAUGGACAAAUCCUCGAGGGGGGGCUACCCUCCAUUGUUACCAUCGAAACCAAUCGCAAAUCCUUCAAACGAAUCUCGAAUCAUCCAUUUGUAUGAAAAUUCUCUGAAUUUUUUUAAAACAAGGGGAUUGAAACUACAUUAAAGGGUUAGUUUAAUCAAGGUGGAAGAGUGUGUAAAUUGAUGGGAAACUACAUCGGAGAAAUUACAACUGGGGCAACUAAAACAGAAGUCUCCAAACUCGCAUGGUAAGUUAGAUGCUUAGGUAACGAGGGAAACCUAACACCACUAGGCUGCUUUUGAAGCUUUGGCCGGUGUAGUUUCUUAAUCUUUCAUGAAGAUCAUCUUUGGAAUCGCAACAUCCUUUAAUAAUACAGAAUAAACAGCAUGUAAAUGUGAUCCUUUACUUUAUUCCAAUUUGCUUAAGUUGCCAAGUUUAACAUAGUCAUUAGCUUCAUGAUUGUUCAACAUCUAGCCUUGAUCUAUAGUAGUUCUAACCAUGAAACUACUAUUCUUCUUAUAAGUAAAUAAGUGUAUCUAAUCAAAGACAAGAUAGUUGUCAAGAAGUAGAAGUGGGUAGUGGAGAAUUAAAUAUGGAGAAGAAAAACUCCUUAGAACAAUAUAUAUACGGGCUGUUCUAGGUUACAACAAAUGUAUUUAUAGGAAAAAAAAAUUCAUAGAGUGUCCCCUACAUAAGGCCUUAAUAUCAGAUUUUUGUUGACAGUAGCUUUGCUUCUAACAAGACAGGGGAGUUGUGGACGCUAAGAAAAGAAAGAAAGCAGUGUGGUGGAAAAAACUUUACAUGAUCUUCGUGCAAUGUCCAUUAAUAUAAUGCUGCUAACACAAAUCUUGAAGGAUAAAAGUCGUGUAUGUGCACGUUUGUUCUCCUUUUAAAAAAUUGUGCUAUGUUUUUCCUUUUUGGCACAAUUUGAAUUACUCUGUAGUAACUUUCUGGUUGAAAAGAAGGACUAACAUGCACAUACCAAAAAAAAAUUCCUUCUAACUUGCACUUGAUAUCUCUUAUUCUACUUGAUUUUCCUAAAAUCAAAUACACACAAGCAUAAAGAUUAAUGGUACAUUGAGUUCUCUUCCUCUCAAUGCAGUUUCAUUGCUUUGGUUAAUUUAUAUGAACUUGAGGAAAAGGAAAAUGUAGAGUGAGUUUUUUCCUCUCUUUUUUUCCUGAUGAUUACUUAUUGAGAAUAUGACUAUCAAUUGAAAAAUCCUUGAUAACUUCUGUCUGAUAUAAAGACUAAUGAUUUAAAUUUAUUUAUUCUCUAAUUUAUUGGUCUUUAACAUUGUACUUGAUUAUUGACUAGAUAUCGUUUAGAAGUGUUUAUUAGUGGACUUACUAGCAAGUUCUACUUAUGCAGAAAUGAGGUGAAUAUGAAUGUAGUAGUUUGUGACUCAGGACUGCACCCCUAAGAAUUGCUCUUAAAUGAAAGAUUGCAGUUCUUCCUUUAUGCAGUAUGGAUAAAUGUUUCAUCGUACGAAAGUCAAAUCCUAUACUUCUCUGUUUUUUUUUAAAAAAAUUAUACCUCUUUUUUUUGAAGAAUCUGAAAUUAACUAUGACAAACAUAAGUCACCAAGGAUUGCUCUAGAAAGCUAUGACCAUCUUCUGAGAAAGGAAUUAUUAGAUCCAUUGUAAUAGUUUAGGAAAGAAUUGUUAAAUAUAAUUAGGUUGGACUCUUCAUUUACUAAACGAGAUAUUUCCUCGAACAAUGGGAUUGAUCUAAAACACCAUCAAUACUUAAAGUUUGCAUUUUAGGAAUACCAAGAGAAUCAACAACAUCAAACACAACCUGACACCGAUGAUCACCUCACAAUAAAUGCUGGGAUCUUGUGCUAUAGAUCUCACCUGAAAUGAAAAAUCUAAAACUUUUUUUUUUUAUUAUAUAGAAGAGCAUAACUUGUAAAUGUUGGGAUCUUGCGAUAUAGAUCAGUAGAGAAGUGCUUGAUAAUAUGCAUUCUUUGAUCUUUUAACAGAUGCUCUACAACUUAAAGCUAAUUAUUUCACUUCUUCGAAUUUGAUUUUAUUAUUUUAAUUAGUUGAGUUGAUAUUUAGGGUCACUAUAUGGAUUACACACUCCUUUUUUUGGUUUAUUUGGCUGAUUUGAUUGCAGGUAGGGUGAGAAUGUUGGCUUAAAUAUGAUAUGAGAUUUAUGCUUAUACAUUGCAAGGUAAUCUCUAUUUCUUCACGAUUACUAUGUAGUUGAGUUUAUUUCGAUUUAGACAACCUUAGUUAUUCAUAGCUCAUCAAACAUUGAUAUGAAGAUUGAAGCUUAAAGGUGUUGUCAUCCUUUAAGUUUUCAGUUUAUUCUUUUGAUGAAUUCAACUGCCAACUCCCCAAGGAGGUCAAGGGGAAUCUUGCUAUUCUCACUUGCUGGUCAGGUUGGUAAUUCACUUUCACUGGUUUACUGCUUCUUUCUUUUUCUUGUUCAAAGUAUCUUUUAUAGUUUUGAAUCGAUAUUUAAACUUAGGAAUAACUUGUGCCUCCAACUAAUGGAGGCACCAUGUUAGUGAUAAUUUCUUCCCUUUAGCAUGAGGAUAUUCCUAAGAUGAUUGAAGCACGAGAUCAAUUGUCUUUUGUACUCUAUGUAAUAUGUAUGUAUUUGCUUUAGAUUAUGUUCAUGUCUAUCUGCAGAUAUAUAAAGUAUUUUUCUGCAUUGGAUGUUUAAAAUCAUAGCCUACUAUUAAAUUUACCUUAAACAAUUCAUCAAUACAAGUUAAUAUGAUUUGGCAUGAUCUCUAUCUUUUGAUAUGUGAUGAAUUUUAAUGAAAUGGGACUUCAUGUGGAGUUCAGGUUUUCUAUUUCUCUCAACCUUUCCUGAAGUAUGCCCUAUCCUUAAGCAGUAAUUGGGUUAUCAUUUAUUUUGGUUCAAUAAACUUUCAAACUUUCUGCUGAAUAUGUCCUCAUUUUCAUUCUCGGACAUAUUGAAUUUUUAUUUACCAAAAACGUUAGGUAGUGACUGUCAAGCUUGACUAAUAGAGAUGGUUCCCCUAUAACAAACAAAGGUCCUGUGUGCUAAGUCCCGUAACUUAAAGUUUAAAGUUAGUGUACCAGAUAGAGCUUAAAUCUUACAAAUUUAAUAGGCAGAGCAUAUUAGUCACUUGAUGUAAUUCAUUGUUUCUGAAUCAUUUUUUAUUUCUCGGUAAUUACUUAUUAUACAUAUGACUUGAAGUUAACAUGCUUACUGAUUUCUCUCUAGGAUGAGGAUAACCCUUCUUUGUCAAAUGCUUCCGAGAUGUCUUUAGACUCUUCAACGUCUGAAUAUUAUAGUUAUUCUAGCAUCUAUAAUCACGAGAAAUGGACUUGAGGCUCACUGCAUUAACAUGGAAAGUGACCAACAUGUUUGAGCAAGCUGUUAGUAGAAAAUGCUCUAUCAAAGAUAUCAUUAACAAUGAAAAGUUCUCUUGCCAUUUUGGAGUUACUGACUUGAGGUAAACAAAUGGACAAGAAAGGUACUUGAAGGCUGAAAUGAGACGGGUUAUAUAUUAAAAACAAAAUACAGGGUAAUAAUUUAUAUGUUCUAUCAAUAGGUUUAGAAUUGUAUCUAUGUCUCAUGAUACCUCUGAUAAAGAGCGAACACUAACAGGAGCUUCAACACUUACCAUCUGACCUAAGUAAUCACAUGUAGGGAGUCUACUCGAAAUAUUUUAGAACUGAUAAGGAGAAGACGCCCAUCUUAAUUCUCAUAUCUACUUGUGUGACAUUGUUACUCCCAAGAAAUACUUGAAAUUUGUAGUCAAUAGAUGAUGCUUCUAUAUCAAAAAGUAUUUUCUUUUUAUUUUUGGGAUAAAUAAAUUUGGUAGUAAGCAAAUUUUCCGAGUCCAGUAAAUGAAGAGCUUUAGCCAAAGUGUCCUCUCUUUUAUGUAAGACAUUAUUUUUCUUCCUGGUUUUGCAGGAACGAACUUAGAGAAGGAAAGAAAUUUGAUGUUAUUUUUCAAUUCUUUGGUUUUCAUGAUUACAUAGCAAUGUUUUGUUUUUAAAUUGGAUUUUUAAAAUCAACAAUUCCAAUAAAAUCAUGUGGAGGCACUUGGUCAUGUUUUCUACAGCAUUUUGGUGGCUAAUCUUAAUGGCAACAUGGCUAUUGUGAUCAAUUUGAAGAACAUGUCUCUCAAUUUUCUCUAGAGAAGCCUUUUAAGUUCGAAAAGAGAAUUAUCAUAUGAGCAUAAGUUGAAAUUUGUGUAAUACACAAAGCAGAUGCAUUUGCUUUCUUACAUAUAUGCAAUAAUAUUAUCAA